AUGUUGUUGGAUGGCACCAGUAUGUGACGUUCCUAGGAACUUAGCUCUGAGGAAAAAACAAAGCAAACCGGGGAAGUACGUAGCCUUGAACCGGAGUAACCAGGGACAGAAAGGAAGGAAAAGGGUUUCAUACCUUCACGGAACGACGCUCACUUCGUCCGCCUGAGGAGGAAAAAUAAGUUUAAACCUUUCUGUGAAAAAGAACGUGGAGCCCUUUCUGCCGAAUGGAAACCCGCUAAACCCCGUUAUGGAGUCUGCUACAAUUAAGCAUCUAACCAGGAAUUGUCUAUGGACACAACUCUCCAGGCAAUUCAUGCAGAAAGUGUGUUGACGAUUUCCUGUUUCUUGCAGAGCGCUUCACCGUUAAGGCUCUUAGUAGCUGGCGAUUGUAAAGCACAUUUUCCGCUUCAU
rnacentral:lncRNA from 1 species